UUAACAUAGGGUAAGUAGAUUGAAAGGGCAGAGGAAGUUCAGAUUUGUCAUGCUUUUCUGAUGGAUAGAUAAAGCAGUGGAGUGACUGAAAUUUUUGGUCGGCGAAGGUGAAGAAGACAAUCGUCGACGUCUUGGGUUAAAAGAGAAUGAGAGAAAUUGAGAUAAGGAAGUGGAAUCAAGAUAAGGUAAAUAGAAGAGAGAGAAAGAGAGAGGUAAAUACUCUCAAUUCAGUUUCAAGGGUAAUUUAGACAAUGAAACACAAGAAAAUACUUGAGAUGGAAAAAGUAUGUUAGAGUGAUAUAGAGUAGAUAAAAAGUAUGUCUGAGCGUAAAUUUUUCAUGAAUAUACCCGUAUUUUGUGGCCAAUAAAUUAUGAUAAUAUAUAUAUAUAUAUAUCAAUUUUACAUCUGAUAUCAAUUUUAUAUCCAAUUUUAGUAUUCACCAUCUUCAUCUUCUCCAAAUGCUUACUGCAUUUAGUUUGUAACGUAGCAAUUUGUGAAUUGAUAGAAUAAAUUACUGCACAUCAGUGGUUAAUGAAUCGAGGCACAUCAUGGUGUAAAUAUGAACUUGACAAUACGUAGAAGAAACAUGUCAAAGGCUAACAACCCAAAAAACUUUUUUUUUUACAACCCAAGAAACUUUUGGAUGCUGUAAAUAUUAAUUAAUGUUGUUUAUGUUCAUAGAAGUCUGUUUAACGCAGAUGUGUGUAAAACAGGAAAAUGACAAAGACAUGAAUUAUGACACAAAUCAAGUUUAUAAAAGAACAACUGACGUUGUGCAAAUAUGAAGUGUGUUGUUUAUUUUGUAUUGACUAAAACAUAAUACAGGAUUUUUGGUGUAUAUGAAUAAACACAAUACAUCUACUAACAGUUGUUUAUAAUGUGGGGUUUAACGUAAUAAUAACAUUAAUGAUACAAUUAAAUGUAAUGAGACUCUAGUGAUGGUCCAUUUUUUAAAAACUCACACAUAAAUCAAGGUUGUGACUUCGGUUUUAAUAUAAUAGAUUUGAGAACAUGAGUUAAUCACUUGUUUAUAUACACAAGUUUUCAACGUAAGUAAUAAAAGUGAACGAUGAAUUUUUUAUUAUAAAGACACAAUUGAAUUUUAUGUUAACUCAGCAUUGAUUUUGUGGUUACAAAAUUAAAUUCAAUGAGAUAUUUUUGUUACCCAAUUAACAACAAAAUUACAGAUAACUUUUUGGUUAAAAAUUUAAUCUUUAAACUGCAAACUUAUUUGUUGUGAAGCCCAAAAUUCAGAUCUGGUCCGGAUUUCUCAUCUAAACUAUUAAAAGUGAAGUACAAAUAAUAGUUAUCCCUAAGUUUUUCACAAUAUUUACCAACAUAUGCCACUGGCAUUAAAACUCAGAGUUUUGAUUAUUUAAUAAACCGAGUUUCACUAAUGGUUUAUUAUUAUACCGUAAAUUUAAUAAACCAUUACUUAACCACAUGCAACCACAUUCCUACAUUUCUAUAUAUAUAUAAUAGUGUUUGCUUCUCUCCCAUGCUACCACCUAGGAUCCAGGUUAGAAAUCGUUUCUUGAGGAAACGACACGUGUCCUAUUUGGCCAAAAGGCAACGUAUCAUUUAUUCAGAGGCGUGAGGCAGAGAGGGUGGGGGUCCUUCGCGGCGGAGAUUAGGGAUUCUUCGGCCCGCACUCGGAUUUGGUUAGGGACUUUUGCUAUGGCACGAGGAAGCUGUCGUUGCUUAAGAUCGAGCCGCUAUUCGUCUCAAGGGUCACAACGCGCAGAUGAAUUUUCUGACUCUUCCUCCUCCUCCUUCGUCGAGGGAACGUCGGUUAUCGAUCUAUAAACGGUUUACGGCUGCGAUUCGGGGAACCAGAGCUUCUGUUCUCCGACGUAUGUUCUUCGAUUCAACGUCAAAGAGGAAAUAGAGUAUCAGACGGACCUGGAGAGGGAACCAAUCGAUCUGGUGGCGGAGGUAAACCAAUGAAUGUAAGUUUGUUUUCCAGAAUCAUAAUCAAUACAUUAGAUAGAUACAGAUAUGUGUUAUAUAAUAAGAUCAUAGUUUAUAUCAAUAUUACUAUAAAUCAUGUGAUUCUAAUUCGAUACUAACUUACACAAUUGAUUUUAAGAAAUUAAAUCUAAUAAUUCAAAAUCUAAACUACUCAUUUAGUGGAAGCCCCCUUAGUCCAGCGGUUUGACUAAGGGUUCAUUAAUGCUUCUACACCAAGAGUUCUGAGGUUCAAAUCCCAGAAAACGCAAAUUAUGCAGAUUAUAGAGAAAAUGGGUAACAAGAGGUCUUCAGCAUGGCAUAUCAUCGAACAUGGAUCUCAUAAGGCGGCUCGAAGUGAUGCAGUCAAAUGUGCAUUCUCAUAUGAUGGUAGAAUUGUCGGCUGUAGAAUCAUCUAUGUAAUAUUUCUCAUUGUUGUAAUAGCAUAAUUAAUCAGACGUUAAAAAAAAAAUACUUAUUUAUUAUUUUCCAAAAAAAAACUCAUGAUAUCUAUUCCUAUAUUUAAGCAAAUACGAUAUCAAUAAACUAACAAAUAAUCCUUUUUUUAUUUCUAAUCUCGCAAAUCACGUAAAAAAUUUAUUAUUAACCUCAAAAUAAUUACAUUCCAUAAUAUAUUCCUAUAUUUAAGCAAUCCUCUAACAAUUCAAUAUCAAUCAACAACCAUAACAUCCUUAUUUGUUCCUAUUCUUCCAGAUCACGUAAGAAAUCUACAAUUUAUACACAUUUAUUCGAUAAGCAACUAACAAACGGAUCAUUUAAGGAAUAAAAUCGUAUAGUAUAUUCGCGAUUUAAUAUUAAAAUUCACAACUAACAAAAUCUUAGCUAUUGUUUCAACCCUUUCCUAACAAGCUAUAUAUACCUCUUCCCCAAUAGCUUAAACACCAUACCAUUCUACGAAAAUUCACCAAAAAUGUCGGCAAUUACUACUUUUCAUCCUCUCACAAAACUCAGCCUUUCAAGAAUAACUGGUGAGUUCAAGUUAAGUGGUUACAUUCCUGGAGGCAGAAUACCCCUUUUGGAGAUACCUUUGAGAUGGUUUUAGCAGAUCAAUGGGUAAAUCAAUUUUCUAAACUUUUGUUUUGUUUUAACAUGGUACUAAACUAAUAUUACCUCGGUUCUAUUUUGGUAGGGAAACAAAAUCCAGGCCUGUUGCAAAAGGACACACAUGUACCGUGUUCAAAUCAGUAGAUCAGUAGAUUAGGAGAAACCUUCGCUUGCCAUGAUCUUUACAGUAAUCAGUAUCUAUCUUCUGUAAUCCUUUUAGUGAAAAAAUUAGAAGCGUUUAAGAAUAUAUCGCCAGAACAACAGACAUGGCCGACGAUUAGAUCGGUAGGAGAUACGGAUGUGAAAGGGGAAAGUAAAAAGACACCAAAAACCAGUUGUUUUCUAUUUUUUUCCGGGGAAAAAAUUAUAUGGGCUUUGAUUUGUGUUUCAGGUCUACAAAUAUUUGGGUUACAAAUGAUACUCAUUUUAAUAUCAUAACCAAAAGGGUCCAAUCAAUUCAUAUAAUUAGGCUUUGUUAAUAUAAUUACUACAUAUAUAUAUAUAUAUUUUUAAUAUAUUUUGGAGUUACUUUUCCUAUUGGUUUUAUAGUUUCUAUCGAUUUUUUAACGCUAUAUAAACAAAAGAAAUAGUUUCCUUUUCCAAUUUGUUAAUAUAAGUACUACAAAAAACUUUUAUUUUUUUCUUUUUAACACUAUAUUUUUAUUUUUAAUUAUAUGUUUUCUUAUUUAAUAAUACUAUUAAACCUAAACUACAUGUUCUAAUAUUAUACAUUUUAUGUUUAGUUUACCAAGCAAAAGAAAAAAAAUAUACAAUAUAAGAAGAAUAAAACCUCAUAGUUUAUAAAUGUACACUAAACCGAAUAAACAAGAUACACCAAUGUCAGAACGCAAUAACAUAUGAAACAAUUACAUGAAUGUUUUAAAAACUAGGAAAAACAUAUAAUUACAUCGAACAUACAUCCGCGCGGGCGCGGGGUCAAAAGCUAGUUUUCACUUUAUAUUUUAAUAUAAAACAUUUUACACAUGUUAUAUUUUAAUCUUUAAAAACACUCAUUUUAAAACUUCAUUUUAAUUCAAAAAUGUCUGAUUUUAACAUGUAAUUACGUUACUUCGUAGUGUUCAUUUCAUAAUGUUCACGGUAAAAAUUACAUCAUCUCGAAGUUGUAGGACCGCAAAAAUCAUGAUUGAAAUUUUGGGUUCCAACAGAAGUUCUGGUUAUUCCGAUAGACAUCUCCUUCCAAAAAUUCAUCAGAAAAAUGUUUCAUACCACUUUAAAAAGAACGAGUUCUAACAACUAGUUCAAUCUGACGUCGGGAUUUUUAUAUUCAAAGUGCUUUUGUUUUGGGGUCUAAUUCUUGUCCAAAUGCUUUCUUUUCCUGUUUUCCUUACGUUUAAACUGAGGUACAUCAAAAAGUCUAGACACAACUAUUAAUCAUCAUAAACGCAUAGCUAUAGGGUGGUGACGUGGUGUGGCCAUGCCAUUGUUUGUAACUGAGACGGAAGAAGUUAGGCUUAGGAUCCAAUUGGAGAAUAACUGUAGUGCUGUUUUUUAAUAGUAACAAAAACAUACAUGUAUAAUUUUUUGUUAAGUGUGGUGCAAUACAGUUUUGUUUAUCACCAUUCGAAGCCUAAAAUUAUCAAUCAUCUCCGAGCCACCCCCAUACACAUUCCAGGCUACCAUCUCCGAGCCACCGUAGCCCCUCCAGGUUUAGUAAAUACGUAGAGCGGAUUGCAUAAACAAGACUAAUCCACUUCCAUAGUAUUAAUCACUUCACUAUUUACCUAAUCAAACUGACUGUUAUUUUGACAAAUUAAUCUUGUACGAAUAAAUUAAGAUUAUAAGGAAUAGCAAAACUAAUAUGUAUUCAUUCUGAAAGCGCUUUAAAUUUUUCUUGUCAACAUUUUCUAUAUAACCAAAGAUGUUGAUACAAAAAUAAUAAUGAAACAUACAAGAUUGAGGUUUCCCCACUAUAGUAAGAGUCUGAGGCAUAGAACAAGCAUAUCAUGCCCAUAUCAUACAACAGAAUUAAGCUGAACUGAACAAAAGAAGCCAAGAUGACAAAAGAGAAGAUAUUAGUUUAACUUUUCAGAAUACUGAAAGUUGAAUGAUGGCCAAUUCUCGUUCUUUAAUUGAUUUCCACAUUUGCAUUCUUUUGUGCUAGCAUCAUUUUCAUCCUACAAAAUAGAAGCAAAAACUGAUAUUGUUUCAUGCCCAAGAUGAUCAUCUUUAACUUUACAAAUCCCACUAUUAACAAAUAGCCUCUCCAUGAGAAUUAGCUUACCUAUUGGCAGAGAUAUACUUUUCUAUCUCUUGUUUCUGCUCAGGCAUGAAAGCUAACCAUUUUUCAUGUGGAGAUAAAUCAUCAAAGGUUCCUCCUACAUCUGUGCAUGAAUAAAAGAAUGAGAUUUGAAACACUUGCACAAAAACACAAACGAAGAGUUUCAGUAAGUUUCAAACCUUGAAGCAAAAACUUUGGUUCUUCCUCAAAGCACUUUAGUUUCCAGAGAGCAAGACCAUCAUCACUCAAAAGGAUCGGGUCAGUUCUAACAGCAUCACAUCGUUGCCUCUCUGCAAAACAGGUUACAUCAGUUUAAGCAUGAAACACGACAUUUGUAAGACCGUUGAUGAUAAAUAGUUUUAAGGGCAUUUAGAUUUACUUCUAGAUGUUGCCUUCAGCAUCUCUCCAUAAGCUUCUUUAGCUUCAGCUUUUAUUUGAGCCAAAACUUUGUGGUGCUCUUCAAUGGACAAUGGAGCUCCGUUUUUUUCCAUAUGGGCUUUGACAAGAGCACCUUGCAUCUUCUGCCUCAGUUGUUUCUCCUACAAAGAAAAAAAAACAAAGUUUAGCAUAAUUAGUUUUGAUUAAAAUCAUCUUGCAGAUUAUAGAAAUACCUUUUCCUUUGCAGCUGCAGCCUUUUCUUUUGCUUCUCUUUCCUUUGUGUCAGACUCCUUACUUUCGUUCUCAAUGAAAUUCCUCAUUUUCCUAUAAUUUUUUUCACACAAGUGUAUUAAGUCAUAAGGGAGCAUUAGUUACAAGUAAAGUGAAUGUGAAUACAUACAAUGUGCUAAGUGAUUCAUCACAUAAGAAGUUGAGAAGCUUGAGCCUUGCUGAUGCAUCCAUCUUUUUGUACUCAGAGACACCUGAUUUGAAAGUUUCAGGUGGGAAAACGUCACUCAGAACUCCUGACUGAAAUAGGCACUCUCCAAGAGAGCUGAACCAAGUGCUGUCAGUUGCACUUAGAGACAAAGACCUGUAAGAAUCAUUUAAACGCAUCAGAAACAAGAACAGUCAUAUAUAUACGUUGUCUGAGGGCAAAAGUAAUAACACUCAUACAUAUCUCUAUCAUGUGAUAUUAACUCCAUCAACUGGAUCAUCAUCGGUAUAACAGAGCAAUAUUGUUGCCUCCUUGUGUUACGCCCACUUCCAAAAACCGCAGCAACAAUAGACUUAGCGUGCCCUUGCUUCAAAUCAAGAGCCUGUCAGAAAAGUCCAAAAUAAAACACAGAUUAAGAGAGUAAGCAACACAAGGAAUGAUUACAUAUGAUAAGUUAAUUAACCAAUAGUCCAAUACCUUUCCAAAGGCUGAACAAAACUCAAGAAAUUGCAACACAUUUCCAGUUUCUUCAGUGGGUAUGUCAAUGCCUGAGACGUUAGUCAAGCUUAUACCAUUAGGAAGUUUAGCCUCAAUCUGAAUUUCCUCCUCUUUCAUUUUGUUAGUGGUUUUGGCUUUCUUGAUCUUGCCCGCCGCUUUGUUGUUCUCCUUGGCAACAGCUGAUUCAUAACAUUAAAACUGUUAGCCUUAGUCACGACGUAUUUAGGCAGCUUCAAAGCAAAACAGACGCACAUGUACCUUCAACCAAAGCAGCCUCCUACAGAAACAAUACAAUAACAAAUAAGCAUGAUACAAAAAUGAAGCUUAGAUCGCAAAAACCUUAUAUAUAAGAUAAAGAAAUGAAUACCGGUUUUGCCUUUGGAAAGCCAUUUUUUGUCUUAUUCAAAGCUUUCUUGAGCUUGCCUGUAACUUUGUUGUUCUCCUUGGCAACAUCUGAUUCGUAACAUGAAAACAAUUAGUCUUAGUAUCUCCACAUUAGGUACAACUUUAAAGCAAACAGACACCACUUAUACCUUCAAUGGAAGCAUCCUCCUGCAGAAACAAUAUACUCAAAUAAGCAUAUAAUAUAUAAAAAAUGAAGCUUAGAUCACAAAAACCUUGGAUACAAGAUAGAGAAAUGAAUACCGAUUUUGCCUUUGGAACCCCAGUUUUAGUCUUAUUCAAGACUUUCUUGAUCUUGCUUGUUGCUUUGUUGUUCUCCUUGGCAACAGCAUCUGAUUCAAAAUAUAAACUAUUAGUCUCGGUAUUAGGACAACUUCAAAGCAAACAGACGCCACUUGUACCUUCAACAAAAGCAUCCUCCUGCAGAAACAAUAUAAUCAAAUAAGCAUAAUAUAAAAAUAUUAAGCUUCAUCUCAAAUAAACUUUGAAGAUAAGAUAGAGAACUGAAUACCAGCUUGGCCUUUGGAAAGCCGGUUUUGAUUUUGUUCAAGGCUUUCUUGAUCUUCCCCGCUGCUUUGCUGUUCUCCUUGGCAACAACAUCUGAUUCAUAACAUCAAAACCGUUAGCCUUAGUCCUCCUUCGUAAGACAUUUUCAAAGCAAACAAAUAUAAUCAGUCAGUGCUGCAACUCCUACCUCCAUUGGAAACAUUCUCCUGCAUAAACAAUACAAUCAAAUAAGCAUAAUAGUAAAUUAAAUCAAAUGAAGCUUAUAUCACCAAAAAAAAAAAAGAAAAAGAAACUUAAAUUAGAGAGAUGAAUACCAGCUUUGGCUUUUUCUUCUGAUAAGAAAAGGUAUCAUGACCCUCAACCUCUAGAAGCUCAGAGACUGAUGACAGCCCACUUGCUUUAGCCUUGUGUGUUAAUAUCCCUGUUGGGCUUUGGCCUCGUUUCUUCCUAAUAAGAUCAUCAUCAUCAACAACACAAAGACUCUCUCUCUCUCUCUCUUAAUAAGAUCUGAAAAUGUUACCUGCAGCAACUGCAGUUGCAGAUGCCUCUGCACUUAGGACAACGCCAAUCAACUAAGGCACCCACCUCCUCUGCCUUCUCCCCAUACCUAUUGAGUAAGCACUUAUGACAAUAGCUAAUGGGACAUUGCUUCUCCUUCUUCAUGGCCUUGCAGGAAGCAACAAAGUCCAUCGUCUUCUGUCGACACUGCAAAGAGAAACAAAACCAAAUUCAAUCCCGACACGUUCGAUGAUAAUCGAAACAAUUUGGGAAUCUGGAGAGCUCAAAUCAAAAUGACUAACUGAUCUAAGAUUAGUCAAUGAGAGUUGUUUUUGUUCUUACCUGGUGACAGCAUCUGCCGUUGCUAGAGUCGUAGAUUCUUCCACCGAUGACUCGAACGCCAGGAUCCGAUUUGCGCUUCGAGGCUUUCACCUCAUCCAAAGCCAUAGCAAUAAGAAGUUAAACCCUAGAAAUGUAAUUCGAAAGAGAGAGAGAGACUUUUCAAUUGGGUUAGUGGAGUACUCUCCAACAGAUUCACAGGAGAGAGCAAUUUAGGAGAAGGGGGAUAACAGAUUGUGGGGGGGAGGGAAAACGAAAUUAGAUUUCGAAAUUUUGAGAGAGAGAGAGGGAAACCAAAAUGUUGAGGAGGGAGACUGAGUCUUGGCGCUUGUAUUUUCUUUUUUUUAACAUUUGCAGGUUCCAAUGUUUUUGGGGGUGGUGCGACUGUCCUUAAUGAGAUAUUGCAUCUUCCAUUAGAGUUAAUCAAUUGGAUCGGAAGUUGGUUUAGCUAGUAGAGGUGAAAACAAGAUGCACGCUAUGUCCACGCACUUUAACCCAAAAUCGAAACCAACCCAACCAACAAAGUCAAACCAAAAAUCGUAAAUAUUCAACUAUUCUUAUUUUCUAUAUAUAAAAAAAAAAACUGAAACUGAAACGAGAAUCGAAUGAGUAUCCGAGUAUUAAAAAUACAAUUUACUAGCUACAAUUCAUAAAUAUCCGAGGAUUCUUAUUUUUUUUACAUCCAAAACACACAGAAACUGAAACAAGAAUCUAACGAGUAACUGAGUAUUCAAAAUAUGAUUUACUAGCUAAAAUAUCUAAUUACAUUUUAUUUUGAAAUAAACAAUUACCUAAAAUAAAAAAAUAUAAAAAAUAUUUAUAUCCGUAAAUAUUUAAUAUAUUCAAAAACUGAAAUACUCGGAGAAUCCACUUAAUAAUUUUUCUUGUCUGAAAUACUUUAUACUUUGUGUGGGAAAAGUUCAUAUUUCAACCUGAACUUUAUCUAUCGUGCUUAUUUCUACCUGAACUUGAUAAUAGUGCAUAUUUCAUACCGAACUACAUAAAAACUCAAAAAAUACUACAUGAACUUUAAGCGUUGUGCCUUUUCCUUCACGAACUUUACAGUAGUGCAUAUUUCAUACCGAACUAGACAAAAAUUCAAAAUUACUACAUGAACUCUCAAAAUCGUGCUUAUAUAUAUAUAUUGAUAAUCAAAGCUGUUAGUCAUCUGUUAAUUUAUCAAAAUGAUGUCAUUUUGAAUUUUUUUUUGUAAAAUUAAUUGUGACUGUGACUGAAUCAUUGGGAAAAGUGCUUAUUUCAACAUGAACUUUAACCGUCGUGCUUAUUUCCUCCCAAACUUUGAAGUGGUGGGUAUUCCAUACCAAAUUACAUAAAACUCUAAAAUACUACAUAAACUUUAAGUGUUGUGCCUUUUUCUUUCUGAAAUUUAUAGUAGUGCAUAUUUCAUACUGAAUUAAACAAAAAAUUUAAAAACACUACAUAAAUUCUCAAAAUUGUGCUAAUAUAUAUAUUAAUCGUCAAAGGUGUUAUUCAACCAUUAAUCUAUCAAACGACUUCGUUUUUUAUAAAUUCUGUAAAAUGUAAAAUUUAAAAAUAAUAUAUAAACUCUCAAAAUCGUGUCUAUAUAUAUAUUGACGUCAAAAAUAUUAGUCAUCCGUUAAUUUAUCAAAUGAUGUCAUUUUGGAUAAAUUCUGUAAAAUUUAAAAUUAAUUUUUGGAAGGUUCAAAUUCUCAUACUGGUGGACAAGUAAGAUCAUAUUAAUUACUAGAACAAAGUAAAUUUCUUGUAUAAAUUUGUAAACAGUAACGCUUAAAGUUCAUGUAGUAUUUUUUGAGUUUUUAUGUAGUUCGAUAUGAAAUAUACACUAUUACAAAGUUCAGGUAGGAAUAAACACGAUGGAUAAAGUUCAGGUUGAAAUAUGCACUUUUCCCUACUUUGUGUUGUGUCUUUACACCAUGUUACAAAUUUCUUAUAAGUUUUCUUCAUAAUUUGUAUAACUCCGGUUUUUCUAGUAUUCAAAAUUCAAAUCUUACGAUAUAAAAACAUUGACCAAUAGAGUUUCAAUGAAGCAGGAAACAUGCACAAACUAAUUGGAGUCCAACUUGAUCAAGACACGACACAAAGCAUAACCACCAAGAACUUUUUGUCAUUUCACCAAGAACUUUUUGUCAACUAUACACAGUGCAAAUACUCUCUUUUUUCUUUUUUGCCAAAGGUUUGGAUAUAUAUGUUUUGGUUCUUAUUGAUCAUUCAUUUAUCAUCUUAUUUCAGUGGUAAUAUGGUAUAAGUAGAUCUGAAAAACAAGACGCUACGUGGGGCAUCCUGUAGAAUAACUACACUAGACUGAAAAAUAUCAUUCACUUUGAACAAACUAAACACUCCCACUCAAAGAUAGAUAUAUGAAACCCCAACUGAUUUAAGACAAACAACGCAUCCUCCGGUUUCCUUCAUAGCUAUGAAACUAGCCAUUCUGGUGGUCUCCUUUCUCCUCACUCCAGUUCUUUGAGAAAAUCAACGUUGUCAACAAACACCUGAAAAGCCCCAAAAGGUUAAGCAACUCAAACACAUUUAGUCAGAGCUAUGUCCACGCACUUUAACCCAAAACUAGAUUGUAUAUUUUUUGUUUUACAUCUUUUUAAGUCUUUUCAAUUGGUAAUUUAAAUAUAGGUGUAAUAGCAUAAAACAUAAUAAAUAAUAUUCUAAAUAAUGAUAAAGAUAAAAGAAAUAAUAGUUGGACCAUACUUUUAUCAAAGGGUCACACUACUAUUUUAAUAGAAUAGAUCGAAACCAACCCAACCAACAAAGUCAAACCAAAAAUUGUAAAUAUUCAACUAUUCUUAUUUUCUAUAUAUAAAAAAAAACUGAAACUGAAACGAGAAUCGAAUGAGUGUAUCCGAGUAUUAAAAUACAAUUUACUAUCUAAAAUUCAUAAAUAUCCGAGGAUUCUUAUUUUUUUUACAUCCAAAACACACAGAAACUGAAACAAGAAUCUAACGUGUAACUGAGUAUUCAAAAUAUGAUUUACUAGCUAAAAUAUCUAAUUACAUUUUAUUUUGAAAUAAACAAUUACCUAAAAUAAAAAAAAUAUAAAAGAUAUUUAUAUCCGUAAAUAUUUAAUAUAUUCAGAAACUGAAAUACUCGGAGAAUCCACUUAAUAAAUUUUCUUGUCUGAAAUACUUUAUACUUUGUGUUGUGUCUUUACACCAUGUUACAGAUUUCUUAUAAGUUUUCUUCAUAAUUUGUAUAACUCCGGUUUUUCUAGUAUUCAAAAUUCAAAUGACUCCGGUUUUUCUAGUAUUCAAAAUUCAAAUCUUACGAUAUAAAAACAUUGAUGAAUUUUUAAUCAAAACCACUGGACCAAUAGAGUUUCAAUGAAGCAGGAAACAUGCACGGACUAAUUGGAGUCCAACUCGAUCAAGACACGACACAAAGCAUAACCACCAAGUACUUUUUGUCAUUUCACCAAGAACUUUUUGUCAACCAUCUAUACAGCGUGCAAAUACUCUCUUUUUUCUUUUGACAAAGGUUUGGAUACAUAUCUUUUGGUUCUUAUUGAUAUUCAUUUAUCAUCUUAUUUCAGCGGUAAUAUGGUAUAAGUAGAUCUGAAAAACAAGACGCAACAUGGGGCAUCCUGUAGAAUAACUACACUAGACUGAAAAAUAUCAUUCACUUUGAACAAACUAAACACUCCCACUCAAAGAUAGAUAUAUGAAACCCCAAAUGAUGUAAGAAAAACAACCCAUCCUCCUGUUUCCUUCAUAGCUAUGAAACUAGCCAUUCUGGUGGUCUCCUUUCUCCUCUCACUCCAGUUCUUUGAGAAAAUCAACGUUGUCCACAAACACCUGAAAAGCCCAAAAGGUUAAGCAACUCAAACACAUUUAGUCAGAGCUAUUUCCAUGAAAAUGAUGAACCUCUCUCUCUCAGAACCAGAAUCUUACCGACUUCCAACCAUCUGGAUCUAAACAUGCGGUGAUCUUUGUGCUUAUACCUGGUAAGGGACCAGGUUCCCUCGUGAUUUUCCCACCAAAGAGUUUUACAGCCUCUGCGGUUUUGUACACGUCAUCCGUCCCUAUCGCAAUCUGACAAUAUUUUUUUUACAAGUUAGAAACUAUAGCUACCUCUCUCUCUAUAUAUAGAAAUUUACUCUUUACCUGAGCAUAAGCAUUUCCUUUAUCAUAUUCAGUGACACCAUAGUUAUAUGUCAGCUCUAGGACUGCAGUUUUGUCUUCUGGACCAUAUCCCAUCAUAGCUAUUGUGUACUGCAAACAAACACUUAUGGUAAGCGAUUUAUAGACAUAAACCAAACCAAACGAACCAACAAUAGUAGCAGGAUUUGCAGGUAAAAUUUGAACAGUAAAGACCAUACGUAUAGAAAGUGAAAGUUACAGUGACACAGGUAAGAAUUAGAUUCAUGAGCCAUGGCAUGUUUACCUUGUACUCUGGGUUGUCUCUUGUGCGCAGAAGUUCCAUUCCAAAAGCCUAUAAAGAAAGGAAGAAGCACCUAUUAUCAGAAGAUAACAAUGCAUUCUGAUAAAAGAAAGAAGGAAAGAAACAGAGAUAAUAUAUCAGAUAAAACACAUUGUUCAGUUCAGGCUAGCAAGCUCUCCUAUCGCACAAGGAUUUCAUAGGACUCAACCUUCUCAUAGAAUUUGAUGGACCUGUCAAGAUCACCAACACGGAGCAUAACUUGGCAAAGAGGUUCUGGUGUAGGACCUCUCUCCAAGAGUUCAAAUUUGUAACCAUCAGGAUCUUCAAUGAAUGCGAUAACAGUUUUGCCACCUUUGACAGCACCAGGCUCCCUUGUUACUUUGCCCCCUUUCGCUUUUAUAAGUUCCACAGUUUUCGCCACCUUUUUGGAAAGAAAAAAAAAAGAAAGUUCAAUUCUUAGAAAAAGACACACAAAACAAGAAGGCAAAACACAUUAAAACAAGAAGGCUCACAUCGUCGACAGCAAUACCAAAGUGACCAAAACCUGCUCCAAUGUCAUACUUGUCAACUCCAUAAUCUGGAAAUAAAACAACACUUAACAUAUAAGCCAACCAUAAAGCUAAACAAAGUACAUCACUUUGGAGCUUGACACACUUACUAUAAGUGAGCUCAAUGACAAAGUGUGAAUCUUCGGGACCAUAACCAAGAAAAGCAUUUGUAUACUUCUCUUCUGGUAUAUCACGCUUGCGUAGAAGCUUCAUUCCAAGACAUUCCGUAUAGAAUCUGCAGCAAUUAAACAGCUUCAGUCAAAUAAUCGCAAUGCUUUGCUAGCUACUCUUAAAACUUCAUGUUUCACAAGAAAAUCAUCUUACUUUAUGGUCCGGUCUAAAUCGCCAACACGGUAAACGACGUGAAGCAUUCUCCUGUUAUCAUCUUUCACCCACUUGAGAAGAUCCUCUUCAGUAGCGGCCGUGCUUGCGUUUCCAGAUUCAGCUACUCCUAAGCAGCUUACGCUUCUUCUUAAAGUCAAAAGCUUUGACUGAGUAACAUCUGUGGAAACACAAAACAAAGCAAUUGAAACUCCAUCGAGACCAUAGAUGACAAAUCAAUUGAAACAAAUGACUGAUUUCAAAAUUAUUAUCUCUAAAGGUGGAGGAGGAGGAGGAGGAGGAUUACGGGAGAAAGAGAGGGUGGAGCGAGAGAGAUUCCUGGAGACGACGGGGAAGCGAGGAGAUGCAGAGACGCAGCCUAGCAAGGAAGGUCGGAUGGUGGAGGCCAUUGAGAUUAUCCUCAUCCUCACAGUCUCCUCUCGAGUCUGUCUGUGAUUGUGAACCAAGCAAGCGGUAGUAGUUACCUUUCCUCCCUCGAGUGAAGCCAACGGUGAAGAUAAAAGCUCUAUUUUUUAUUUUUAUUUUCUGUCGAUUUAUAAAAAUAGAAUAAAAUGGACCAGGUUUAUCGAACUUUAGCAUUAGUACUUUUCUUUUUGAUUUUUGUUAGCUCAUAAUUAAAUUAUAUUUUAUCAGAAUGUAUAAUUGAACGAUUCUCAUGAAUCAAGAUAUCUGGAAUCAAAAUUCUAAUUAAUCAGAUUAUGACACGCAUAAUCAGGGCCGGCCCUGGGCUGAAGCCCGUAAAACUAGGACUUAGGACGCCACAAAUAAUAGAUAAGCUGUGAGCGCCAAAAUUAUAGUCUAGUGGUUGUAGAGUUCUCCCUAUGUCCUUUACCUUACAGGUUCGAUAUGUAACAUUUCUAAACUUCUAUACUUUUAUUUAUAGUGAGAGCAUUUUCCUUCUCUGAAGAUAACUACAAAAGAUUUCUUUAUUCAAUGACAUGAAAUAUUUGGUUACAUGUUCCAAAGACCCAUAUGUUAUUAGAUAAAUAAUUUAAUCAACACAACUUAAUUAUAUCUUUUAUUUUUUUUAAACAAUUAUUCUUCUCUGCUUUUUUUUCUGUUUUGUUAAUUAUUAGACUAGAUUUGUAAUUAAAAAAAAUCAUAAAAGAUAAUAUUAACUUAAAAUAUCAGUUGCUCAUGUUUCACUCUUCCACUGUGAUUGAAUUUAAAAUAUCUCAAUGGGAAUCUCAAAUAGGUCUUUUCUUUAUUUUUUUAUUUUUUGCAAGUGUUUGUAAUUUUGUUAGAAACUUUUGAAUUUUUUAAAAAAAAUCUUAACAUCAUAGGGUUUUAUUAUUAUGUGAAAACAAUAAAAUUUGUGAAGUUGAUGUUAGCAUACUUUAUUAUAUGUUUUAUUUAUCUAUAAAUUAUAUUUUUGUUCUUUUUGAAUUUGUAAAAAAUGUUGCUAAAAUAAUAUUUAAAAUUAACCAAAUAAUAAAAAACAGACUUGAAAUUUUUUAUUCAAAAAUAAGGAAAAAACAGACAAUAUAAAUUAAAAAUAAUGUUUUAAUGUUUUUUUUUUUUUGAAAAUAUCUCUAAUUUUAACACUAUCUAGCAUUAUUUUAAUCAUAUACAUAAAAGUAUAAUAAAUGUAGUUAUAAUAAAGGGGCAACAUUUUUUUGGUCCGCUUUAGGCGGCCGACAAGUCCGGACCGGCACUGCGCAUAAUAUAUUAAAUUUGUAAGAUUUUGAAUGUGAGACUGAGAUGUGUUAAGAAGAUGAUAAUCUCAUUUCAAUUUCAGUUCUUCAAAAAUACAAUUAAAAAUAAUACGAAAAAACUAAAUAAAUGAAUAAUAUUUUUUUAUUAUUAUAUAAUUAUAAAUCUGUGUACAUAAUUUCAUAUUUUAAAAUGAACCAAAAACCAAUUAUGCGUUUCUAAAACGCAAAUCAAAAUUUAAUUUUAUUAUUAUAUAGUGAGCUCUUAAAACUCUUUCAUAUGUAUAGGGAUUGAUUGACAAGUGAUUUAGAAGUGUUGUAGGAUCUUUCUACAACCCAAAUUAUUUUUAAAAUAUAAUUAUUUACUAAUUAUGCUUUGUAAAGAUUUUUUAAAGUUACAAAAAAAUUUUCUUUUUUGUUUAUUUUUAACUGUGAAAAAUAAUAAAUCUAGAACAUUUAUUUUUUACUUUAGAAAAUUUAUAUAUGAGUCACUAAAUCUUUUCAAACCUACAAUUACAAUCCUAUAGCAAAAUUAUUUACGAAUACAACAAAGAUAUCUAUAAUUUUAUUUCUAUAGCAUAAAAAUAUAAAGGUACAACUACUUCCAAUCAUCCCCAUAGUUGUUGGAUCAAAUAAAUGGUAAUCAAAAGUUGGGUAAUAAAACUCAUACAACUAUCACUUUGAGAAAUGACUUAAAAUAAUAUCACUUUUCAUAAAUACACUCGAUCAAAAACAACUUAACAUUUCAUUAAAAAAAUAGUAUAAAAUUUGAGGUAAAGUUAGAGUUACCAUACUACUUUCUACAAAUUAUUUCCCAUAUUCAUGGCAACGUUUUUCUCAUUUCUCUUAUAUAAAUCAGAAAAACGUACAGUAAUUAUAACGUAUCAAAAAUUUAUUAUUCACAACAAGCAAAAAGAUGGUUUUAUUUUACAUAAAUUAUGGGUGAGGGGUUCGUAUCAAAAAUAUGGUCGUUAUUAUUAUCCUUGUAGGAAACCUAAAAUUAGACGAUUUGGAUCCAUUCUCCAACGCUCGGCACACCAUUGUAGACAACAAAGAGAAGAUAAUAGCCAGGAGGAGCAACCUUUCCACUCGGAGGAGCAAUGGCAUGGAUCUGAUGAAGGUCGCGAACCUCUUUCUUAAUAUCAAAGAUACCCAAAAUGAGCAACCUCAUGUUCAUCGACACAGCAUGUGUAGUAAACGGUGGUGCCAACAUUGUAACCUUAACAUUCUCCUUCGUCACAUCUUUUUGGUUGAGGUGGAUCCUUAUGUUAAACCUCUCUCCGUACCUGAUCUGUUUCGGUGUAGCGGUGUUCACAAUAGUUGGUCUCAAAUUGGCGAGAGCCGGGUCGAGGUAAGGCGGCGAGUAUUUCUGGAGGCGGACCUCGGUUGGGAACAUAACAUCGUACUUGUAACCGUCGUUAGUGUUGCUUCCACCUACAAGAACUUUACCGUCGGGGAGAGCGAGUGCGAUGGAGUGGUACACGCGCGCGAUAGGGGAAGGCGCGAGCUCUUUGAAACGUUGGCCUAACGGUUUGUCUGGCGCGUACAUGAUCGGCGAGAAAAGCGGAUCUCUGCCGUUACCCCAUCCCGAGGUUCCACGUCUCACGCCGUUAAUGAUUAUGACUUCACCGUUGGGAAGGAGGACAGCAUCACUCAUGACACGCUGCAUUGGCAUCGCCUCUGUGACCCAUACAGGGUUCUUACUGUUGAGGCUGAUCCUCUGGCAGUCUUUCAAGGCCGGUUCGUAGAUCUUCUUGGUUUCAGCACGGUAGAAUGCGUCUUGUCUUG
rnacentral:lncRNA from 1 species